GUAGGGUGCGAGCGUUAAUCGGAAUUACUGGGCGUAAAGUGUGCGCAGGCGGCAGAGCAAGUCGAGUGUGAAAGCCCCGGCUUAACUUGGGAAUUGCGCUCGAGACUACUUUGCUGGAGUGUGGCAGAGGAAGGUGGAAUUCCACGUGUAGCGGUGAAAUGCGUAGAGAUGUGGAGGAACACCAAUGGCGAAGGCAGCCUUCUGGGCCAACGCUGACGCUCAUGCACGAAAGCGUGGGGAGCAAACAGGAUUAGAUACCCUGGUAGUCCACGCCCUAAACGAUGACGACUAGUUGUUGGAGGAGUUAAAUCCUUUAGUAACGCAGCUAACGCGCGAAGUCGUCCGCCUGGGGAGUACGGUCGCAAGAUUA
rnacentral:rRNA from 1 species